UGGGGAAUUUUGGACAAUGGGCGAAAGCCUGAUCCAGCAAUGCCGCGUGUGUGAAGAAGGCCUUCGGGUUGUAAAGCACUUUCAGCGAGGAGGAAGGUGGUGAGCUUAAUACGCUCAUCAAUUGACGUUACUCGCAGAAGAAGCACCGGCUAACUCCGUGCCAGCAGCCGCGGUAAUACGGAGGGUGCAAGCGUUAAUCGGAAUUACUGGGCGUAAAAGCGCACGCAGGCGGUUUGUUAAGUCAGAUGUGAAAUCCCCGGGCUCAACCUGGGAACUGCAUUUGAAACUGGCAAGCUAGAGUCUCGUAGAGGGGGGUAGAAUUCCAGGUGUAGCGGUGAAAUGCGUAGAGAUCUGGAGGAAUACCGGUGGCGAAAGGCGGCCCCCCUGGACGAAGACUGACGCUCAGGUGCGAAAAGCGUGGGGAGCAAAACAGGAUUAGAUACCCUGGUAGUCCACGCUGUAAAACGAUGUCGAUUUUGGAGGUUGUGCCCUUGAGGCGUGGNUUCC
rnacentral:rRNA from 1 species